rnacentral:piRNA from 1 species
CAACAAAGCUGGAAAUGAACUUCU